rnacentral:rRNA from 1 species
UACGUAGGGGGCUAGCGUUGUCCGGAUUUAUUGGGCGUAAAGAGCGUGUAGGCGGCCAGGUAGGUCUGCUGUGAAAACUCGAGGCUCAACCUCGAGACGUCGGCGGAAACCAUCUGGCUAGAGUCCGGAAGAGGAGAGUGGAAUUCCUGGUGUAGCGGCGAAAUGCGCAGAUAUCAGGAAGAACACCCGUGGCGAAGGCGGCUCUCUGGGACGGUACUGACGCUGAGGCGCGAAGGCGUGGGGAGCGAACGGG